rnacentral:lncRNA from 1 species
AAGCAAUUUGCUCAUAGCCAUAGCUUUCUUGUGAAAGUAGGAUAUUAACCCAGGUGUCUUGGUGCUGGAGAACAGAACUGGCCAGAGUCCAUCCUGUCUCCCACCGGCAUCCCAUUACGAAAUGAACACAGAAAAGGCAGGUCUGCAAUGCCAACAUCUAGUAUCUAUCCCAAAGACCAGGGAGAAAGGAAGGAAAGAUUCUGGUUCUGUCCUCUUCCCCAAGGCAAGGCUGGCUGCCCUACCAACAGAGGCAAAGAGAAGAGUGUGCAAGGCUGGCUGCCCUCCCAACAGAGGCAAAGAGGAGUGUGUGUUGAAAUAUCCAUUGAAUCCCUGAGACAACUGGAUCCUGGCCCAUUGAAUCAUAAACUCAUUAUGGAGGCUGGGAAGACCUAGAAUGUGGCAUCACUAUUUGCUGAAAUUUUUAAUAUAAUGCCUCUUAGCCUGGUUUGGAGAAAACGUCACAGAGAGGCACCAUUUGUUGUGGUUUUACAUGAAAAUUUUCUGACCCUGAACCUGGUUUGAUGGAAAUCAUUUGCUGAGGAAACCAUGCCGAUUACCGACCGAGCUCUCAAUGGAAAAAUGCAGUCGGCGUGAACCACGCACGAACACAGCAGAGAAAGAAGAAAACACACACCACGAGGAACCCUAAUAGGACAAUACAUUAUAAGCCUCAUGGUACAUCCACUUGGUGUGCUGGGAGAGUCAGGAUGAGGACCUGAGAAGAACAGCAGCUUGAACCUGACUUCAUUUAACAGCCCACUGCCCUCUUGCCAAGAACCCAUCACAGACCUUCCCAGAAGAGAGGGAUGAGCCUCACCUAUGAAUAAGUCCUCAGAAACUCAAAUUUGAUUCUAAUGGAUUGUUUUCUCAGAAAGACUGAGCAUGUCCCCCCACAUCUCUGUCAUUUCCCACAGUAGUAACCUCUGCAGAUGCCACAUAGAAAACAAAACAAAACAAAAAAACAUGAGGUUGGUGGGCAGAUAGGCAGGGUAUAAACAAACAGCCUUGUAACCCAGAAGCUGUGUGAUAUACAGUAAACUUCACAACACUGAAAAGAUGUCCUAUCUGUUAAAAUGGGGUAAUAACAACUACCCGAAUGUUUAGGAAUAGAACUUCAAUAAAUGAUACAUUUUAUAGUACAGCAGACCAUCCUGUAAAGGUUUCAUCCUUCACUGUGGUGAUAAAUAUCCCAAACCACAUUGAAAAGCAUUGCAUCUACAUUUAUCUACACUGUAACUGUACUGUAAAUCAUGGGGGAGGGGAGAAUCAUAAAAACACCACCUGUCACCGUGUCAUUAAAGCAAGUUGGAAGUGAUACUUACAGAAACACAGCAAGAGCACCCCCAGUCACACAGUUCAAUCUCUUAGCAAGCGUUUUCUUUCUAGCCCAGUGGUUCUCAGUUUGGAAUUUUUGGCACUGCCUAGAGAUAGUUUUGUUGUUAAAACUGAGAAAAGAGCCGGGCGUGGUGGCACACGCCUUUAAUCCCAGCACUCAGGAGGCAGAGGCAGG